GACAGAGGUGCCGAGCGUUAGGCGGAAUCACUGGGCUUAAAGCGUGUGUAGGCGGAGUUCUAAGUACCUUGUGAAAUCCCACGGCUUAACCGUGGAACUGCUUGGUAUACUGGUUCUCUUGGGCCAUCUAGGGGCUAGCGGAACAAACGGUGGAGCGGUGAAAUGCGUAGAUAUCGUUUGGAACGCCAAUGGUGAAAACAGCUAGCUGGGGAUGUGCCGACGCUGAGACACGAAAGCCAGGGGAGCAAACAGG
rnacentral:rRNA from 1 species